ACUUUUAUUUAAAUUAGAAAUUAAUAACGUUAACCAUGUGACAACGUACUUGUCCUUAAAGUGACAUUUAUAAUCUUUAGUAUAGUAAAGUUUAAUGUGUAUAAUGAUUAAGGCAGCUAAUACCUUUAGUCAUCUGUCAAAGUAAUCAUAAAAUUGAUGUUGAAACGGAAUAUUUUAUCUUAUUGUUGAAUGGGCAACCUAACAUAAUGUAAUAAUGAAGCCGAUUUAAAAAAACCUUAAAUAAAAUGAUAAAUUACACGUAACGAAAUUUUUAAAUGUCAAGUAUAACAUCAAGACUGGUAAUCGAACAAAUUGAUGUGUGUUUAGGCUAUUUGACUAUAAUAUCAUUACUAUGCCUAACCAUUGUUGUAGAGUUUAUUUUCCUAAUAGUAAAGACAUUAACAGAUUCAAUUUUAUUGAUAUUACAUCUCAUUUUAUUGCCUAUAUAUUUAAUACUAAUUGCCAUUACACUCCCAGCAAGACUCUUAUUUUUUGUCGUUAAAAUAUUAUUGAUUCUUUUUAUAUUUUCUGCCAUGAUACCUUAUUAUACUUACGAUUUAUUGGUUGCAAUCUUUUUAGGAUCCAGAUUGAGAAGCUCACAGUUACAAUAAAAUUUUAAAAAAUACCUACUUCUGACUUUAAUCAUUUCAUAACUCUGUAGGGAGGAAUAUAUUUUACUUUAGAGUCUGAUGAUAACUUUAAAUAAAGAUGUUUAGUAGUCGAGUGAAGGGCAAGUGGAAUAAUAUAUUCAGUAGAAGAAAUAUCAACAUAAAGUUAUUUCAUGGUUACUGGAGGGAGAACAAUCAAAACGGAAAGAAAGGAACAAAGAAAUCAUGCAAAAACGGCUGCAUUUGGCUGAGAAGAAAGUGUUGCUUUAUCUAGGCAAUGCACCAUCUCACACAUCCGUUAUUGCAAUGGCCAAAAUUAAUGACUUAAAGUUGGAAUUGCUACUUCACCCACUCUAUACGUCAGAUUUAGCUCCUUCGGAUUAUUUUUUGUUGCCAGACUUGAAAAAUUGGGUCAUCGCUAAAACAUUUUCUAACCAUGAAGAAGUGAUGCCGGCAGGUAAUGGCUAUUUUGAGGAGCUUGACGAUUCUUAUUAUAAAAACAUUGCUGGGACAAGUAUAUAUAUGGAGCUUAAAGGAGGUUACAUCAAAUAAUAAAUAUAUUUUUUUUCGAAA